GCGUUGGUGGUUCAGUGGUAGAAUUCUCGCCUGCCACGCGGGAGACCGGGGUUCGAUUCGCAGCCAACGCA
rnacentral:tRNA from 1 species